UAAAUGUAUCAAAAACAAGAACACCCAAUAUUCCAAGCCUGGUUCACAUCCAAGAUAUUGAAGAGGUCAAUGCUUCGGUCAAUGCAGACGAGAGUGUUGAGGUCAACAGCCAAGUCUCCAUGAUUUGCUUAUUAAUUGGAUCCUCAAAAACAAAGAGCAAAUACCAUGAGAAUAUUCGAAAGAAAUAAUUGAAGGAGCUUAAGCAAAGAUGCCAUUCAUAUAUAUUAAGAGAUUAGGUAAAAAGAAUGGGGAACUACCAGGAACGUAGGACGAGAUUGCGUUUGAAGGAAAAGAAGCGGUAUUAUUUUGACUCACAAUCUUGGAACAAGUACAAAUAAGUCCUUCUCCUUUAUAGUCUGGCCAAUCUACCCCCAAGCUUUGUCUUGCCUUGGCCUUUUGCCCUCUCUCACACUGCAGAUAUAAAUCAUGCUCGUCUUCUGUUUUCGCAGAUACAAAACCCCAGUACUUAUAUUUGGAAUACCAUGAUUAGAGGCUACUCUGAAGCCAAAAUGGGCCAUAGCGGCUUCUUGUUUUUCUGCCAAAUGCUUCAAAAUGGCGCUGAAAUGCACUGUAGGAGCUUUGUUCUUGCGCUCAAAGCGCAGUUUUUGAGAGUUUUAGGAGGGAAAUCAGUUCAUUGUGGUAUUCGAAAGAUGGGUUUUGUUUAUGCUAUGUUGUUUCAAGAUGGGUUGGCUCGUUUUUAUGAUCUGCGUGGUUGUUUGGGUUUUGCUUGACACUUGUUUGAUGGAAUUCCUGCUAGAGAUGGAUUUUCUGUCUAUGACUGAUGGGUAUUCUAAGCGUAACUGUUGGGAUGAGACCUGGAAGCUUUUUUACUCGAUGUCAGUGGAGGGUAAUGUAGAGCCAGAAGAGGUCACUAUGAUAGCCGCUCGUUCAGCUUGCUCGCAGAAGGGGGGUUUGAGAUCAGGGAAGAGUUUUCACGAAUAUGUAAAACUAGAAAUGCAAGUGACCAUGAAUGUGAAAUGUGGCUGCUUGGAUUCUGCAAGAGGGAUCUUUGAUACCAUGGGAGUUAGAGAUGUGUUCUCUUGGACGAGCAUGGUUAAUGGGUAUGCUAAAAGCGGUGAGCUAGAGCUGGCAAGGAUGUCGUUUAAUGAGAUGCCGGAGAGGAAUGUGGUUUCCUGGAGUGCCAUGAUUGCUGGGAAACCACCCAAAGGAAGCUUUAGAAUGGUUUGUUACAUGCUGGAGGCUGCGUUUGUUCCAAUGGAGAACAUUAGUUCGUGUGCUCUCUGCUUGUGGUCAAUUGGAUUGCUUGGAAUUUGGUCAGUGAAUCCAUUGAAAUUACAUUAUCGUUACAAAACACAACGAAUCAGUGUGAUCAUAGCAAACGCGUUCAUUGACAUGUAUUGCUAAAUGUGGGGUCAUACAUGAAGCUGAAAAUAGGGAGUGUCAGCGUUUGGAGUCAUCAAAACCUGAAGGAGAGAGGAAUUUAUCUAUUUUUUAUUCUGCUGAGAGAAGGGUGUGGCAGUUAGAGAAGAAUGAGAAUUUUACUGUUAAAUCAGCUUGUGCUCUCACCGAUGAUAUUCAGCAUCCAGGAUCUGAGAAUUUUGAUAAUUUACUGUAGCAAGUAUAUUUCCUCCUAAAAAAUUGCGAUGUUUUUGUGGUUGUUGUUACAAGGUAGUCUGAGUUCCAGAAAAUUUCUUGCCUAUAGAAGAAUUAUUAGUUAUGAUUAUGCAAUGGAUUGAGUGUGAUGGGUGUAUGCUGAAGACUAUUCAGCUUUCCUUGCAGGAAUGAAAUCAUUUGUCAAAUGGAAAAUUUCAGUGCAAAGUCAUCUAUAUACUUUGUUGUGAUAUCUUAUAGUCUAUUAAGCCUAUUAUUGCUGCUUUGAAAAGCGCGAAGAAGAAAGUUGGUUGCUAUACAAAACUCCUGCUAAGAAACUAGAAGAAAGAAAGCGAUUUGCUGCACCUCAUGAUGUAUCAAAAACAAGAACACCCAACAUAGUUCCAUUCAUUUCAAUGAAAUGAAUGCUCGAAUUCCAAGCACAUAAACUUGUAAUUGUAAAGGCCAAUGCUUAAGUACCCGAUAAAAAUGAAGCAAACUCAUCAAACAAAUCCCUAGUGAUUCUGAAAAAAGGGUUAAAACAUGUACAAUUUUUUUUUAAUUUAUAUAUUUUAUGAAUAUGUUUUUUUUCUCUUCUCAGCUUCACUCACAACUACACUAAGAUAAGAUUUUUCUUUGUUCUUCUUUUUUUUUACUUUUUUUCAUUAUAUUUGUUUUUUUAUAAAUUUUUAUGUUCUUAAUAAUUGUAUGAAUGUUUUUGUAGGAUUUUUUUUUUUCAUAUGAGGUCAAUGUUGUUGUUGUUUUAUUUUUAGUUGAUUUUCUUCUCUUUUUUUUCCAAGCAACUCAAUUCCGAGUAUUAUGGAGUGUUAAAUUAUAUUAAUUUAAUUAUUUUCUAGUUUUGUUAAAUAGAUUUUUUUAAAAAAAUAUUUUUAAAUAAUCACCGACAGAAUUGUAUAUGGUAUUUUUUUAUUAUAUAACAAUUUUCCCAGGGGAAAUACCGACAGAAUGAAGCGGGUAUUUUUUUUACGCGCAUCUUUCGUCUGUAAAACCAUCUGGUUUUUUUUUUACCGACAGAAUUAACGACAGAUGAUGGAAUUACCGAUGAACAUUAUUCCGACGGACGUAUUCCAUCGGCGAAUUAGUCGGUAAAAUUUUCACCAACGGAAAGGUAAUCUCACGCCGAUGGAAAAAUUCCGUUGAUAAAACUGUUAAAUGUUGUAGUGUAGUAUAAUUAUGAGAUUCCUAUUAUAUCAAAGCAUUGUUCCUAAAAUGUUCCUAGUUGAUGCUCUCUUAAAUACUAGACAUUUAUUAGAGCAAUUGAGACUGAUACAUAUUAUAUUCUUUCUUUUAUGAAAUGAAGCAGCUGUUAUAAGACAUGUACACUAAACUGACCCGCGUGAGAAUUUCAUAUGGAAAGAUCACCAAUGUCUAUGGAAAGGCUCACAUGAUGGUUGUGUAAGUGAUCUUUAAACUUAAUAUCACUAAGUUAUCUUAAAUAAAUAAUGUUCUGCUUUGAUUCGUUACAUGUUAUCUUAAUCGAGGUAAUAAAAGGGUAGACAUUGAGUAUACAUUGAACUAUAUGAAAGUAUUUGAGUGAUCAAGGGAGGAUUCAUUACCCUAUGUGAAUUAGAGAAAAUAUUUCAUAUGUUCUCAAAUAGUAUUGACUGAGAAAUCCUUGGCCAAGAUGGAAUAAGAUUUGAAAAGAGUUUUAAAUCUUAUUCCAAUGAUCAAUGACUAUUAUAUAGAGAACAAACAUGAUUUUAUAUGGCAGACAUACUUCAUGCUUUAAUGUUAAAUCAGAACAUUAUUGAUGAAAGGAUAUUAAUUACACUGAAAAACUAGUCACUCAAAGGUUAAGUCAAACCACUAAUGACUUCUCUAAUAUUUAGGGAAUCAUGACACGUUGUUAGACAAUGCACCUGAUCUUUAAAUAUAAAUUAAUCAAUUGUUUAAUUGAUAAUAAAUUAAAUUGUUUAAUUUAUUUAAUUAGAAUUAUAAUUUAUAUUUGGGCCAACAUAUUAGGAACUUAAUGGGUCACACACAUUAAGAACCACUAGUCAUAAAUUAAACUAGGAUAAUUUAAUUAGGUAUAACUUGAUUAAAAUAUAUUUUAGAAAUUAAGGGCUAGAAUACAAUUAAUACAAAUAUUAUAUUUCUAGACCUAGAAAAAUCAAGAAAGGACUCGAUUAAGUUAAUAUGUAAAAUUAUCCUGAAUUAAAAUAUAGAUAUUAUUCAAGGGGCAAAUUGAAAUGUCUUCUAAUUUAUAGGAUUUUUUAAAUUUUUCUAUAAAUAGUAAGCUAUGCUUCUUAAUUAAUGCUUCUUAAUGUUUCAGUUUCAUCCUCAACAUUUACUCAAUUGGAGACCGGGGUAUGUUAUUUUUAUUUAUUUUCUUUCUAUUGAUAUUUUCAUUGAUUUUUAAAAUAACUCAAUUUAUCUCAGGUCUUUUUAUUUGUCUUUCUUUGUUGAAUUUUCUUUAGCUAGUUUUCUAAAUUGAUUUUUUUGUCUAGUUAUAUCAUUCAAUAUUAAAUUAGUUAGGAAUUAAGCUUAUUUAUAUUGCCCGGGUGUAGGAUUAGAAAGUUUGUUAUUUAGCCAUAGGUUUCAAGUUUAAGACAUUAGCCCAGGUUUAGAAAGUUCAUCUAAAUAUUAUUAGUGAUUAGGCUCUUUUCUAUUUUUAUAUGCUUUCUAUAUGAAUCUUUGUGUAAACCCCCAUAAAUAAAAAUAAAAUAAAAUAAAAUAAAACAUAGGAUCAAAGUAAUGAGGUUUUGAUGAGUAAUGGAGAUUUGGUAUGAAAGAAAUGAAUAAAUAGUAGGAAAGAUAAUAAAUGUGUCAUGUAAGAGAGAUAAUCUCCAUAGAUAAAUUUAAAGGUAUUAUUGAAAUCAAAAUGAGGGUUAUGAUUUUUAGUUUAAAACUCGUAACGUUGGCGAAACCCGUGACGAGAUGGAUAAAAAAAUAAAAAAAAUGAGAAGAUAUGUAAACCCCCGUCAAAAAACUUAUUUUGACAAAUUAGUGAUAAAUGUCACACCCGACAUCGCGGCGGCCUUAAAAAUGGUUCUCAAAUUAUGGAAAAAAUAAAGAAUAGAUUUCUAGCAUCUAGUUCUUUUAGGGGAAAAAGGUCUUGUUUAAAGAGUCGCCACCUAGUAUUAUGGUCACUAGGAACCCUAACUGGUCAAUAGAGAUUCUAUGGUACGGGAUUGGUUACGUAAAAGGGAAGAUAUUAUCACCCCUUAAACGUUCUGCCUGAGGCAGACUGCAUUAAUGGUUUUUUCUUAAAGUGCUAAAUUUUUAUUGGUUUAUGCUCUGAUGGUUUAUUCGAAUAUUCCUGACUCUGACACUAGUGAAUAUUCAACUACAGAUAAUUCCAACUAUGACGUUGGUAAAUAUUACGUAGCUGUAAAAUAAAUUAGAUCAAUAUUUUUUAUUCCCUUCUCUAGCGCUAGUGAAUAAAUAAAUAAAAAUAAAUUUAUUUUUAAGCAUGCACAUAUUUUUAGUUUUCUAGCUAAAUAAAAUAAAAUACAACGAAUAAAAAUAAUAUAAAUUUAGACCGGUAUUUUUAUUCCUGACUCUGGCGUCAGUGAAUAAACUAAUAAAUUUAUAUUAUUUUUAUUCAUGCAUAUACAUUUUUUAUUUAUUUUUUAUUUUUUCUACUUUUUUUAUUUUUUCGUUUUUUUUGUUUUUUCUAUAUUUUGAGGGCUGGGCUCGGCCUGGCCCAGCCCAGCCGGUCACUGGCCCAAGCCAGUGACCGGUUGGGUGCAUAAAGCACGCGUGAAUUAAAAUGCAAGGAGGGAAAGAGCAACUUACAUGGCGCUGCACUUGAAGAUGAGUAUGACGGGGAUGGAGGACUGGCCGGCUGAUGCUAUUUUCUCCUCCUCUUUUUUUCUUGGUGUUCCUCUGUUUGCGGCUUCGUCCUCCUGUGUUCCCUUCGUGUUCUGGGUUCUGAAGACCAGGGCGAAUCUGGGUGCGCUGGCUUUUUCUCCGGUUGCUUCUCCCCAGUUUGUGCCCUGUUUGCGUCUUCGUCCUCAUGUGUUCCCUUUGUGUUCUUCGUUUUCGUCUCCUUUUGUUUGCGUCUGUUUGCCCUAUAGAGGGCAGUGGCCCCCCUUUUCCUCCGUGGCCUUCUCUGGCUUUUAUAAAGCUGGAGGACGGCCUCUGUUUCUUUGAGCAGAAACAGGGGAACCGAAGUCUGCCCUUUUUAUCUCUUCACUAAUCCCCUCGGUUUUUGCCCCUGCUCAGGACAAAGGAGAUGGUAAUAAAAGCAUGACGUUCUGCAGGUUGAACGUGAGCUCCCUCUGGUUUCUCUCUUUUCUUUUUUUUUAGUUUCUUCUUCCUCUGUUUUCUUCUUCCUAUCCUCGGUUCUGCCCCAGUUUUUUCUUUUUCUCCCGUUCGUCGCUUUCUCCUUGCCCCUUGCGCUCUCUCAUCUUCUCUGGCUUUAUAGCAAGAGAAUGCCAAGCACUUUGAAACGGCUUCCACCCUUUACUCCAGCAACGGCUCCUGCGAAUAAGAUGAACAGCGCUCCUUCAAACGACGCCGUUUUGGGAUAUGAGGUGGAUAUUUUCGUCUUGACCCGUGAAAUUUCGAAACUGUUGUAAUUAAGCCCCUGGUUUGAACUGUAAUUUCCCCUGCAUUUCGGUGCCAUUUACAAGUUAGUCCUUGGACUUUAAUCUGUUGCCAUCGUGCCCCCAAUUAACCCCAAACUUUGCUAUUUCUUCAAUUAAGUCCCUGAUUAAUUUAAUUAAAUCUAAGUCUAAUUAAGUCUAAAACUUAUCAAUUCUCUAAUUAAGCCCUUGAUUGAUUAAUUAAAUUAAUUCCAAGCUCAAUUAAGUCUCAAAACUUAUCAAUUAUCCAAUUGAACCCUUGAUUGAAUUAAUUAAAUUAAUUCCAAGCUCAAUUAAGUCUCAAAACUUAACAAUUCUCCAAUUAAACCCUUAAUUGGAUUAAUUAAAUUAAUUCCAAGCUUAAUUAGAUUAAUUCCAAAGUUUAAUUAAACCCCAAAACUUCCAAUCAUUGCCCUUAAACCAAAUUUUAAUUCAUUCUUCAUUUAUUUUAUUUUACUUGUUUUUUUUUCAUCAUUAUUAUUUUUUUAUCAUCAUUUUUUUUUAUCCUUUUCAAUAAAUAAAAUAUUAUUAAAAUAAAAUGGUCAAUAUCAAGAAACAACAUUUUCUAAAAUCACAAGUGCCAAAAAUAAUGGGAAGGAUGGGCUAGGUAAAAUACAAUUAACUGAUAACAAACCUUAUUUAUAUAUUCUUGUAGUUUUUUUAUUAAAUGGGGUCCUUGGCCAUUGCCCAUGUUGCCCAAAAUGCUCUAGCUCACUAAACACUUAGACAAGCAUGCAAGAUCUUCAGCAAGUGUUUGGUUUUCGCAAGUUAGAACGAACGAGGUGCUCGAGAGGCAAUACGAGCGUACCUCCCGACUCAUUUAGUCUUUGAAAAAGCGUAGUCAUAAGCCUGCGUUUCUCUUGUUCUAUCUACAAAUAAUCCAUCAAGAUUUAAAUAACGCCAUGCGAAAUCGAUCAAAUGAACAAGAUUUCCGAAAUCUCUCGCUCGAUGUCUUUCUACCGUGAAUACACUAGCUAGCUAGUAUAAAUUAACAAGGUCCUUGAAAGAAACCAUAUCAAUCCAGCAGAUAGCUUAAACAUAACCAUUUCUCUCUUUUUUCACGACCCUUGAGAAAAAAAUGCAGAUCUUCAGCAAAGUGUUGAGAGAUACUGAUGUCCAUGUUCGGUUCUCGUUCCCAACUCAUUGCUUAGAGCAUUUAGAUUUUGCUGGAAAUAAUUAUGUUGAUUUGUAUGUUAAAGAUAGCUGUGGUGAGCUUCGAGUUAUUCGUUGCCUGAAGAGAAAUGGAGUUUAUGACAAGCCAGUGCUUUCUAUGGGCUGGCUUAAAUUUGUUGCUGAUUAUGGACUGAGAGUUGGUGACAAGGUUGUUCUUCAUCGUGAGGAUGACCAUAACCUGGGGUCACAGUUCAUGAUUGAAGCUAAGAGGAGAAUCAUGCUGCUUGGUGAGGAGGCUUGGGGUGAUGUGACAAGAGCUAACUAGCUAUUAUUUGGAUGUUCGGCCAUAUCCAGAUAUAUAUAGAAGAAUGAAUUUAUGUAUGUGUUUAUGUUUGAGUGUUCGUAGUGAUCAUAAUCAAUGUCAUCUGCGUCAGUCUAAUUAAAUAAAUAUGUUGCUGUUCUUGGUUUCUUGAAAAUGUAUUACGUGCAUGUAAUUCUCAGCAAUAAUGGAUUUAAUUAAUUAUAUAUGAUCAGAUUCUGUCUCUAAUAGUAUGAGUUAUAUAGUAUAUAUGUACUGAUCUCAAAUUCCGUUUCCAGGAGUUUUUUUUUUUUUUUUCCUUCAAGUUUUUACAUUUCCAGGUUUUUCAAUUUUGUUGGUUUAAAUCAUGGGAAAUUCAUUGGUGAUGCUAAGAAACAAAGAUCGUUGUUUCAAAUCCUAUGUUGUCAACUCUUUCUAUUUUAUUUGGAAUGAGUUAUAUAUUUCAUUUCAGUUUAAAAAAUAAAAAAAACUAAGAACGGAUUUUAUCUUGCUUAAAAAAAUAUUAUCUAGUUUUACCAUAUCAAUUAUAUUUCUCGAUCCAACUAUUGAAUCAGGCUGAAAUUAUAUGAGUCUCCAGAUAUAUUGUGAUAUUUCAAGUUAAAAGUUUAGAAAUGCCUUGCAACAUUUUCUGAAUUUUGUUUCUAAAAGUUAUUUUUUUAUGUUUUUUUCAAUUUUAUCAUUUAACAAUAGGUUUAUUAAAACUUAAACUGCAUAAUUUGUUUUGAUUUAUUUUAUUUAUCAUGCAUUUGAAAAGUUAAUUUUUAUUUUUAUUUUUUGCUAUUUUGUGCGCUUUUCAAGUGUCUGAAAAUGAAGAUUUCCAUUGAUUUAAAACCAUAGAGACUCCAUAUAUAUAGUUUUUGAAAUCAUGGGAACUAACUCAUUGGUGAUGCUAAGAAACAAAGAUCGAUGGAUUCAAAUACUAUGGUGUCAAUAUUGAGAUAUAAUCCUAUCGUAACAACAUAUCAUUUAUAAAAUUAUAUUUUCCAAUCUAAUUAUUAGAUUAUGCUAAAAUUUUAUAACAAAUCUCCUAACAUAUUAUGAUACCUCAUGUUAAAAGUUUAGAAAGGCUUGCAAAACUGUCAAUUGCAUUUAUAAUUUUGUUUUGAAAGUUUAUCCUUUUAUCUUUCUUUUUUUUUAGAUUUGAUUAUUUUUCAAUUUUUUAUUUAACAAUAAGUUUAUUAAAAAUUGAGCUAUAUAAUAUUUUUAAUCAAAUUAUAUUUUUAUUAGUUGUAUAAAUUAUGUGCUUUAAAUUAAUAUUUUAAAUUAUAAACAGUUUGGAACGAUAUGUGAAAACGCUAUGAAACUAAAACAUGAAAAAACAGAACACUAACUGGAACGGAUUUGUUUAAACAGAGCAAUUGUAACAUGGACUCCACCAUUAGCCUGUGAACUCAAGAUUCCAACUUCCCCUUUCCUUCCUAGUUUAUGUGAAGUUUGCUUACUCAUUCACAUCAGAGGACAGUUUUCUUUUCUUUAUUUUUCUUUUGUAAAGAAGUUUGAAGCAUCAGGAAACUAGCUCAGUAUUGAAUUGAAACAUGUCUAGUCCUUUAAAAUUCACAGAACGUAACAGGGAUAGUGAGAGUAAUUCAAUAAAGAAGCACUCAAACCAUAUCAUACAUAACUGAGAAGAGAAACUUACUUCGUUCCUCCUCCUCUUUUGAUAAGCCCAGAUGGAGGGAUUCACAGAAGGCAUCAAAAUUGCCCCAAACCUGUAGCAAAACGCAAAGUUGGUUGGCAUACAAUACUCCUGCUAAGGAACUUGAAGAAAGAAAGCGAUUUGGCAUCGCUGCAGCAGCUAGAGAGAUCUUGAAAGAGAUGCUUAGCCUACCUCUUUACAUGUAUCAAAAACAAGAACACCCAAUAUUCCAAUUCUGGUUCACAUCCAAGAUAUUGAAGAGGUCAAUGCUGCGGUCAAUGCAGACGAGAGUGUUGAGGUCAACAGCCAAGUCUCCAUGAUUUGCUUCCUAAUUGGAUCCUCAAAAACAAAGAGCAAAUACCAUGAGAAUAUUCGAAAGCAAUAAUUGAAGGGGCUUAAGCAAAGAUGCCGUUCAUAUAUAUUA
rnacentral:lncRNA from 1 species